UGCUUAUGAUGACUCUAUUUGCUACUCUUGAGUUCAUGCUGAUGAAAUUGCAACCACCAAGAUCUCUUAUCUGAAGCA